rnacentral:rRNA from 1 species
AACGAACGCUGGCGGCAGGCCUAACACAUGCAAGUCGAGCGAGGACUUCGGUUCUAGCGGCGGACGGGUGAGUAACGCGUGGGAACGUGCCCUUUGCUUCGGAAUAGCCCUGGGAAACUGGGAGUAAUACCGGAUGAGCCCUUUGGGGGAAAGAUUGAUCGGCGAAGGAUCGGCCCGCGUUGGAUUAGGUAGUUGGUGGGGUAAUGGCCUACCAAGCCGACGAUCCAUAGCUGGUUUGAGAGGAUGAUCAGCCACACUGGGACUGAGACACGGCCCAGACUCCUACGGGAGGCAGGAGUGGGGGAUCUUAGAAAAUGGGGGGAACCAUGAUCGAGCCAUGCCGCGUGAGCGAUGAAGGCCUUAGGGUUGUAAAGCUCUUUCAGCUGGGAAGAUAAUGACGGUACCAGCAGAAGAAGCCCCGGCUAACUCCGUG